UUUACGCAACAACUAGCCCUAUUUUCCUCGGCCCCGUCCGGCGAGAUCGAGAGACUACCGAUAGAGGAAGAAGAAACACGCCGCCGUCGACCCCAUCCUCUCCUCCUCCUCCGCCGCCGCCUCCGCCUCCGCCGCCGCCUCCGCCNNNNNNNNNNNNNNNNNNNNNNNNNNNNNNNNNNNNNNNNNNNNNNNNNNNNNNNNNNNNNNNNNNNNNNNNNNNNNNNNNNNNNNNNNNNNNNNNNNNNCCACUUUCACUUUUACUUUGCUUUGUUUACCUUUUGCUUUCAGUUCUCACUUUGCAAACAAUCUAUAAGGAAUUGACAACCCCUUCAUAGCGUUGGGUGCAAGCUCUUUGUGUUUGUGCAGGUACUUGUGACUUGACGCGAUCCUCCCACUGGAUCGAUACCUUGGGUCUCAAACUGAGGGAAAUACUUACCGCCGCUGUGCUACAUCACCCUUUCCUCUUCGAGGGAACACCAAUGCAAGGCUCCAAGGCCGUGGGGAAAUCCUUUGCAUAUUUUCCAAGGAAGUCCCUAUAGGCAUAGCCCGUAGCAGAAGGAUUCCUGGCGCCGAUGCCAGGGAAGGUAUGUUGACGCAGUAGCAGGCAUACAUACAGAAGAGAGUCUUCAUCUGAUCCUUCAGUUUCACGGCCCAAGAUGGCAUAGCAGAAGAGCGGGUAUGCGAAGCAGGUCCUCCUCCAGCAGCAGUCUCUGUGUCCGUAACCAUGGGCUGAGAAGAAGUUGAUGGGUUGGCCCAUUUGUCCUUGAUACGGAGCUUGAUAGGAUCAUGCACAAAAUAGUCAGCCUGAAUAGGGAAGGGAUCUAUCAAAUAGAUAUCGUGUCACCUCUUCUGAAUAUAGGCAACCACGUAAGGCCCAUAGAUGGGAACCUUGCGGUUCAUGAUGCAAUUGCAGAGCUCAUGGAACAUCACAUGAGCAAUGUCGAGAGGCGCAGUUUCCUUAGUCCUUGCCUCCUCACACAGCAGAAGCAUCUCAGCCAGAUGACCAUGCACCUCGUCCUUGUUGCCAAUAUGAGGGAAUAGAGAGUUGCGGAAGACCCGAUACAUGAUAUCCAAUUGCGUGGGGAGCACACCUUUCUUGAUGUAAUGUUGUUGCAGCCUGUCCUUGGGGGUGGCAGUAGACGAAGAAGGAGCAUGAGGACGCAUCCCAAGAGCAUUUUAUUCCCCCUGAAAGUCAACUUUGAGGAACUGCAUGAACUCCGUCCAGGAACCAGUCAGCUUCUGAUUACCGGUCAUCCAGGUCAUGGUGCGCUCAUCAUCAGGUUGAAAGUGAACAGUGACAUAAAACUGGGCCACAAUAUCUGGAUCAAGGUCAUGUCUGAAGGUGAUGAUGUGUGUAAGGCUAAGCUUUUCAAUCAAGGAGAGAGCCUCGCCAAAGUAGUCCGGAUUCCGCCGAAGGUGAGCAAGGUCGAUCCACUACACCGGGACAAAGAUCUUCUUGAAGGGCUUGAUGAUGUCAUGAUAGAUCAUGGCAUGUUCCCGUGACCAAACAUGAUCGACGUUCUUAAGCUGAACCUUGUCAUCAACAUAGGGAUUUCGGGUGCAGAGUGCCAAAAAAUCCUUAGGGGCCAUAGUGCGAACGUUGACCCCUUUGUUCUUGGUAGCAGUCUUCUUGAAGGACCUCUUCUUAGGAUUCAGACUAGAAGUGGCGGAACCUUCUGGAGCCUCUAGAGUGCGAUACUGCUUAGGUUGGGUGUUACGUGCGGUAUUCAAGCGACGAGCACCACCUGUGACACACAAGACACACACACCAAAAAGAGCGACAAAAGGAGUCAUGGCAAUGGUCAAAAAAUCAUAAGAAGAAACACAUAUUGCUAAGAGAAAUCAAAGAAAUAAAUAAAUAAAAAAUCCUCCUGGCGGUAGUACCGCUCGCCCUAGCGGUAGUACAGCCGCGGCCCUGGCGAUAGUACCGCCAGGCUGGCGGUAAUACCGCUAGGGGGUUGACUUCCAGAUCUGGAUAUAUUUGAACCCACAAAAACUACUAGAUUCGUUUCAAGAGAUCCACGGCUAAUAAAUAAACUCAUUACAAGAAUCACCAUAGCCCUAACACAUGUGGAACUCGAGAUCAUCUAGAUGGAGACAAGCCUAGUCAAAGGGAUCCAAGUUUUAGAUCAAAUCCAUGAGAAGUAUGAUAAGAGCCACUAGAUCUAAAACAUGGAGAACUAGGGCAUGUCAAAAUAAUUGCGAUGAAUAACAUAAGACCUAAAAUCCCCUAAGAUAUCUCCUUCGUUCCAUCCAAAAACUAAGCACACAUCAUAUCCAUGGAUCCAAAUCACCAAGCUCCUAACCCUAGAACCAAACACACCAACCAAGAGAAGAAGGGGAGGAGAUUUACCGGCGUCCAUGGCACUUGAUGGAGGAAGGAGGAGGGGAGCAAACCCUCCAACUCAAAGGAGAGGAGGGGCUCCGCAGAGAAAGAUCUAAACGGGGGGAGUUCGGUGAAGACGGAGAGAGAGCCACGAGGAAGAAGAAGCAGGGCAAGAAAAACGGGCUCCCCCUCCUUUAUAUAGUCGAAGGGGUACGGGGCCAGCGGUAGUACCGCUGGGGUCCUAGCGGUAAUACCGCUCCCACUGGCGGUAGUACCGUUGGGGUCCUAGCGAUAGUACCGCUCCCCCUGGCAGUAGUACCGCUCCCCUUGAGACAACCCUAAAAAUCCCUAGUCAAGCCUUGAUAGGAUGGGGUCCUGGCGGUAGUACCGCUACCCCUGGCGGUAGUACCGCUGGGGUCCUGGCGGUAGUACCAUUGGGGUCCUGGCGGUAGUACCGCUACCCCUGACGGUAGUACCGCUGGGGUCCUGGCGGUAGUACCGCUACCCCUGGCGGUAGUACCGCUCAAAAAGACAUAGCAAGACAUAGGACUUUGUGGAAAUGAUGUGGGCAAUGACUAGUCAGUGUAACAAAAAGAUAACACCAGCAAGAUAUACUGACUAGUCAUUUUGUAUCCUUUCUUCAACACGAGAGAAAGGUGGGGCGGUGGCCGAAGCCACCUAUGUUUGAGACAAAGGUAUGACACCGCGAAGAAUUAUCCUUGGGUUCAUGACCAAUGCUCGUCUUUGAAGCACAAGUGCCAUUUAAUAAUGGCCAAAGUGAAAGACUUGAUCGAUCUAUGCAUAAUGGGGGGAGGGAAAGUUCAUUGAGAGAACAACACUCCCCCUAUGUCCAUGCCUACACCUAGAACAAGAUGUAAUGCAGAGUGAGGUGCAAAGUGCCUAGUUUCAAUCCACAUUACUUGAAUCAAUGAUAUUUAGCUCAAGCCUUAACUCCCGGAACCUUGCUUCGUCUAGGGGCUUAGUGUAAAUAUCUGUAAGUUGCUCUUCAGUGUUGAUGAAGUGAACCUCAAUAUCACCUUGCUUGAUAUGUUCACGAAUGAAGUGAUGGUGAAUAUCAAUAUGCUUGGUCUUGCUAUGUUGCACCGGAUGGAGGGAAAUCUUGAUAGCACUUUAAUUGUCACAUAGAAGAGGCACUUUGUCAUAAGUGACACCGUAAUCCUUUAAAGUUUGCCUCAUCCAUAGCAACUGUGCACAACAACUUGCAACUGCCACAUACUCGGCUUCGGUGGAAGAUAGUGAGACACAAUUCUGCUUCUUUGAAGACCAACUUACCAAUGAACGACCAAGGAAUUGGCAUCCUCCAGAAGUUGACUUCCUCUCCACACAGUCUCCUGCCCAAUCUGAGUCAGAAUAGCCCACUAGGUUGAAGUUUGCCCCUUUGGGAUACCAUAGACCAAAGUUUGGGGUAUGAGCCAAAUAUCGAAAGAUUCGCUUAACGGCCAUAAAAUGGCUUUGUUUUGGUGCAGAUUGAAACCGUGCAAAUCCCUACACUCAACAUGAUAUCCGAUCUAGAUGCACAAAGGUAAAGAAGGGAUCCAAUCAUGGAGCGAUAUACCUUUUGAUCCACUGCUUUACCAUUGGGAUCACUGUCAAGCUUGCAUCUUGUUGGCAUGGGAAACUUGACCGGCUUGACAUCCUCUAGCUUGAACCUCUUGAGCAUGUCUUGAGUGUACUUGGCUUGUUUGAUGAAGGUCCCUUCUAAGCCUUGCUUAAUCCUCGACUUGGGAGUAGCCUUGAGCCACCAAUCUUGCCUUGUUUCGAAUCACAAUCCCAUUGGCAUCUUGCUUGUUUUUGAAGAUCCAUUUGGUCCCGAUGACAUUAUGUUCCUCCUUUGGUCUUGGCACUAAAUUCCAGACUUGAUUACGCUCGAAGUUGUUGAGUUCUUCAUGCAUGGCCAUAAGCCAAUCCUCAUCAUCGAGCGCUUCCUGUACCUGUUGAGGUUCACAAUACGAAACAAACGCGUGAUGCUCAUAAUAAUUCCAAAUUUGUUGACGAGUGGAUACUCCCAUUUUCAAACUGCCAAGCACAUUCUUCAUAAGAUGUGACUUGACUCUCAGCUUGUUUGCAAUCUUGGCUGCGCGACGCUCCAAGAAUUUUGCAUUGGAUAACUGGGGAGCAUCGACUUGAUUACUUUGCUUGCCCUUGUGUUUUGAUCCUCCCUUGGCACGAGUAGCCCUCUUAGGUGCUGCAGAAGGGAAUUGAGAGACAACAUCCUGAUCAACUUGAGCCGGUUCACUGGUUUGUCCUUCUUCUUGUGGUUGCUCUUGAUCUUGAUCUUGUGCUUCUAUUUGGCCUGGAUCUUGUAGUUGCACUUGAUCUUGAUCUUGAGCAGAUUUGGAACCUUGUGUAAGCACUUGUACAUCAUGGGACACAUCACCAUCUUUGAGCAAUUGAGCUUGUUCAACUGGUUGAGGGUCUUCUCUUUGUUCAUCGGAAGCGUGUGGGGCUUGUGAGGAUGAUGGCUCCACUUGAGUAGAGCAUUGUCCUUCUCCUUCGGCCACAAGGGGUUCCUCAAUGGGGAGUAUUUGACCAAUCCCCAUUCUUCUUAUGGCUUGGGGAGGAAUUUCAUCACCUACAUCACAUAGACCACUUUGCUCCACUUGGGAGCCAUUAUUUUCAUCAAACUCCACGUUACACGUCUCCUCAAUGAGCCCGGUGGACUUGUUGAGGACACGGUAAGCAUGAGAGUUUGUAGCAUAACCAACAAAGAUGCCCUCUUGUGCUCUAGAAUCAAAUUUAGCUAAACGUGCACCUUUCUUGAGAAUGAAACACUUACACCCGAAUACCCAGAAGUACUUGAGAUUGGGUUUGUUUUGGGUGAGAAUCUCAUAUGGGGUCUUGUUCAAGCCUUUGUGGAUAUAGAGCCGAUUUGACGCAUGACAUGCUGUGUUGAUGGUUUCUGCCCAAAAGUUAUAUGGAGAUUUGAAUUCCGCCAUCAUUGUUCUUGCAGCGUCCAUGAACGUCCGGUUCUUCCUUUCCGCCACACCAUUUUGUUGAGGGGUAUAUGGUGCUGAAUAUUGAUGUUUUAUUCCCUCAUCACCUAGAAACUCAUCCAAGGUGUAGUUCUUGAACUCGGUGCCGUUGUCACUUCUAAUCAUCAAAAUCUUUGCUUCAUGUUGACGUUGAGCUUCAUUAGCAAAGUUGAUGACAGUUUGUUGAGUCUCACUCUUCCUCUUGAAGAAAUAUACCCAGGUGUAUCUUGAGUAGUCAUCAACAAUCACCAAGAAGUACUUUUUGCCCCCAAGACUAUCAAAUGAUGGAGGACCGAAGAGAUCCAUAUGAAGGAGCUCCAACGGCUUCUUAGUGUAAAUGAGAGUCGUUGGACGAUGAGCAGUUUCAUGAAUCUUUCCUUCAAUGCAAGCACUGCAAGCACGAUCUCUGGCAAAACUCACAUUCGUUAGUCCACGAAUAUGGUCCCCUUUGAGGAGACUUUGCAAAGAUCUCAUAUUGACAUGAGCUAGUCGGCGAUGCCAAAGCCAGCCCACAUCAACUUUAGCCAUUAGACAAGUCGUAGUCUUAGUGGGUCGCUUUGAAAAGUUCACCACAUAGAGACCAUUUUCGACAUAUCCAACAUAGGCUACUUUAAGAGUCUUGCUCCACAAAAGGACCAUGGUAUCAAGAUUAAAGAAUGUGGAAAAGCCCAUAAUUGCAAGUUGACGAAUCGAAAGUAAAUUGUAAGCAAGGGACUCAACAAGCAUGACCUUCUCAAUAGACAACUCUUGAGAGAUGACCACCUUACCAAAUCCCAAUACCUUUGAUGAUGAUGCAUCGGCGAAUUUGACAUGGGUGGGCAUAGAUGGGGAAGGAUGCACAUCCACCACUAAGUCCUUGCUUCAGGUCAUAUGAUUUUUUGCUCCACUAUCGAGCAACCAUGACACCACACCAGAAGCAAACUCCUGCAAUAGAUCAAGGCUUGGUUUUAGGUACCCAUUUUUUAAUGGGUCCUUUAAUGUUAGAGACAAGGAUCUUAGGAACCCAAAUAGCCCAUUCAAUGAACUCAUAGUAAGAACCAACAAAUCUGGCAUAAACAUGCCCAUCACCAGCACGACAUAAAACAUAGGAAGGAUUGAGUUUGCCGGCUUUGUUGGUAGGAAUGGUUUUGCCCUUCUUGACGCUACCAUUCUCCACCUUGUUCCUGUUCACCUCCUAAGUCCCUUCGCCCUCUUUGACAAAGAUGUCCAUGAGGGUAGGGGAUCGUUUGUUCCUGUUCUUCCUUUUUCUUUUUGACUUGGAUGUAAGUCCAAGUCCCUCCUUUCCUACCACACCCUUUUGAUUGCUCAAGAGGUCAUUCAGGUUCUUCUCGCCUUGGAUGCAUGACACAAGGCCCUUCUCAAGUUUAUCCUUCAACUUGGCAUUUUCCUCCACAAGAUGUACAUGCUCACAACAAGGGUUAGUUGUACAAGCAUUAUCAAUUAAAACGAAAGGAGGACAAGUAGAGAUUUCCUUGGUAAGCUUUGCUUGGAGUUGAUCAUGAGACUCUUUCAGGGAGAAACGAGCACCUUUCAAGACCUUGUGAGCCUUGUCAAGUGUAUCAAACUCCACUUUGAGUCUAUCAUGGCCAAUCCCAAGAGCAUCCUUUUCAGACUUAAGCAUACGAGUAAGAACAGUAGCAUGAUCUAGUUCCUUUUGCAAUUUAGCACAGUCAUCGUUGUAUGACUCCUCAAGAGCCAAACGAAGAGUGCGCUCCUUUUCUGGUGCAAUAGAUAGUUCAACAAUCUCAUCGGCAUAGUCACGACUAUGUCCUUGCAGCUCGGAGAUGGUCUCCUCAUGAGACUUGAUGAGGUCAUUAGCCUCACUCAAUUGUUACAAAAGGGCAACAAAGUGCUUCUUGGGUUCUCCUUUGACUGUACACAGAAAUUUGUCAAGAUCAUGCUCAUUAAGUUCCACAACAUCACUAUCAUCAACACAAUUCAACAAUGAAGGACCAGUAGUGAUGUUGGUCUUAAUGUUGGGUGUUACCUGAUCGAUACCUUUGGCCAUGAGGCACUUGGCGAUGUGGUUAUCGUUGGGGGCGUUGAAGAGAGACAUGUUCUUGGGAGAAGGGGUGGCAAUGGCGACAAUCGCAGUUGCCACCAUAUCGUCAUCGUCAUCAUCAUCGGAGGGGUACUCUUCAAGUGCCACCAUACCCUUUGGGUGGGUUUUCUUGACAAAGUUGUUCUUGUUUGGGAAUGACUUGGUUUUGUCUUUGGAAUGAGCUUGCCCCCGUUGUCUUCCCUCUUCUAAUAGGGACAUUCUGCCACGAAGUGACUCACAUUACCGCAGUUAUAGCAUGUCCUCACUCGUUGCUUGGAUUUGAACCCACUUGAGUUGUUCUUGGUGAAGUUGGGUCUUGAGUUCCUCUUGUUGCCCCAAAAUUGCCUUGACGCAAGAGCCAUGUGCUCGUGAUAAGCAUACUUAGUGUCUUCACGGCAACUCUCCUCUUCCUCAUCCUCUUCUUCUUCAGAAGCAGCCUUUGCCUUUAAAGCAAGGUUGGGUGAAGCUGUCUUUGACCGAACGCGAGCAAGUGCAUUGUCAGCGGUCUCGUUCAUGAUUGACAUUGCAAUGAAUUCAUCCAACACCUCACUGGAAGACAAGGAGUGGAAAUCUGGUCGUUGGCGAAUGACUGAUGACAUGGCUUUGUUGAAAGGCAUGAUGGCCUUGAGAAACUUGCGCUUGAUCCAUGUGUCAUCCACAUCCUUGCUCCCAUGAUCCUUGAGAGCAAUAGCAAUAGCAGUCACCCUUCGAUAGACAUCACGAGGGUCCUCAUCUUCCUUCAUCACAAACUCAUCGGCCUUAUCAAGUACCACUUCAUAGUUGGACCGUUGAAUGCUUGAGCUUCCCUUGUACAACACCAUAAUGUGCUCCCAACAGUCCUUAGCCAGAGUGAAGGGGCACAAGUGAGGAAGAUCUUCAGGAGGAACUGCGGACUGUAGAAUAAACAAUAUGGAGUGAUUAUAUUGAUUGUUCGCUUCUUCUCUUGGAGUGAGGUUGCUUGGAUCAUGAGGGUAGUAGCCUUGCUCGAUGAUUCUCCAUAAAUUUGUUGAGCUGUGAUUCAAAUGAGACUUAAUAGAAAACACCCAGUUAGCAAAAUCACCCUUAACAAGCUUAGGAGGAGGACCAACAGGGUUAAGACGCGGUGUGGGAACAUGUCCUCCAUAGACCAUGGGAGGUGGAACUGAGGCAUAGGUUCCAGUCCCAUCAUUUUCGUGAGGGGAAGAAGGUCGCAUACCUUUAGCCGCUUUCUUAGAGGAAUUGGCCUCCGAAUCUGUGUUGGCGGGUUUAACGACCAACGCUGGUUCGGGUGAACCUUUAAUUCCCUCAAUUAACUUUUUAAGCAUGGUAUUGACUUCGUUCGUCAAGGACGUCUUGAGGGCGGCCAUAGCCGUAUUCAAGUUGUCCCUUGUGACCGAAGUCAAGGCCAUGGCCUCGGGUUGCCCAUGGGGAACAACCUCAUCAUCUUCCAUACUCUUCGGGUGGUGAAACCCUUAAUAAAGAGACGUGGCUCUGAUACCAAUUGAAAGGAUCGAUAUGGUUGACUAGGGGGGGGUGGUGAAUAGGCAACGACCACUUUUUAAUUAAUCUUAACAAGUUAGGGUUAACAACAUAAAGGUUCUCUAAAAUGACAACAAGGUGAUGAACCUAUAUGAUGCUACCAACUAUAUGCACUAAGGCAAGUAAGGGAUAAUCAACAACAAAAGCAUACACAAUGUAAAGAUUAGAGAUAACCGCAAGUGGAACCAAUGAAGACGAGGAUGUGUUACCGAAGUUCCUUCCCUUUGACAGGAACUACGUAUCCGUUGGAGCGGUGUGGAGGCACAAUGCUCCCCAAUAAGCCACUAGGGCCACUGUAUUCUCCUCACGCCCUCACACAAUGCAAGGUGCCGUGAUUCCACUAUAGGUGCUCUUGAAGGCGGCGACCGAACCUUUACAAACAAGGUUGGGGCAAACUCCACACAAAGCUUGGAGGCUCCCAACAAGACCACGGAGCUUCACCACAAUGGAAUGUGGCUCCGGAGUGACCUCAACCGUCUAGGGUGCUCAAACACCCAAGAGUAACAAGAUCCGCAAGGGAUUAGUGGGGAAUCAAUUUUCUCUCGGUGGAAGUGUAAAUCUAGGCCUUCUCAACCAAUCCCUAGGAAAUCAACAAGUUUGAUUGCCUAGGGAGAGAGAUCGGGCACUUUUGAGCUUAGGGAGCAACAAUGGAGCUUGGGAGGGUCAAAGGUAGGGUUCUUGAGCAAGAAGAACCUUUAUAUAGUGGGGGGAAAAUCCAACCGUUUUCCACUCACAGCACGAGCCCAACGGUACUACCGCUGGCUGCAGCGGUACUACCGCUGGUAGCGCAAAGACACUACCGGGCCAACCACCGCCAAGAAAGUCUUCGCAAAAAGUCCGACGAAGUACAACCGCAAGGAUGGCGGUACUAAAGUCCUGGAGCGGUACUACGGCUGACUAGUGGCGGUACUACCGCCAGGGCUAGCGGUACUACCGCCAGCUCUAGCGGUACUACCGCUAGAAGACCUUUUUGCAAGAUGAGAAAAACCAGAGAUGGGAACAGCUCCAAAGUUGCAGGGAAAGGGGAUGGAGAUAAAGUGUGUGCGUGCAAGAUUGAUUCCAUCCAAACCUUUCUACUAUGGAUCCCCUCUUAAUAGUACAACGUUCCUACGACUCAAAAACCACCAAAGAAAAUCGUAGAGGACACCGUGCUUCUGUUCCACGGAGGGUGCCGAAUUGUCUUGUGCCUUUGUCAUGUAUUAUCUGAAAACUUAAUGCACACGAUUAGUCUUUAAGGUACUGUCAUCAGUCACCAAAAUUACUUAGGCAUAAAUAUGCCUUAACAACCUCUUAUGAAAGUAAAUUCGUGCCUCUCGCGGAAGCAAACCCGUGCCUCUCAAAAAAAAAGGAAAACAUGUUAUUUUUUUGUUUUUGAGAGGCAUGGCCACACCUCUCGUGAAAGCAAAUCCGNGGAAAACAUGUUAUUUUUUUGUUUUUGAGAGGCAUGGCCACACCUCUCGUGAAAGCAAAUCCGUGCCUCCGGCGAAAGAAAACCGUGCUUUUUGAAAAAGAAAAAAAGUUUUUUCCAUGCAAAUUUUACUUCGAAUGUUUUUCGCCCAAAAGCUAAAAAAGACCAGUGGAAAACAAGAACACCGACCUCCCCCCCCAAAAAAAAUCACCUAAAAAGCCGCAAACGCGUGCACAAAAAUAAAGUAGAAUAAAAUCACGAGGAAAUAUUGAGAACGUAACACAUGACGACGACUGAGAAUGCGUCAAGUGGUAACACGUGGGAGAGAUUGUUGGGAGGCUCUCCAAGGAGCGCUCGUCAACUAGUUGCUCUCCAAGUCUAGGGGCUAGUUUCUUUCUCACGAAAUCAGUAAUUGACAAAUACUCUUUUCAAGGAUCACUCCCACCUUCCAGUUAGCGACAAGUGGCAUACUGUAUGUGUGUCACUUGCUGUCACCUGAAAGUUUUCUUUUUUUCAUAGAUUCGUAUUUCCAAAAUAUUUUAUCUUUUAAAUAAUGCGUACAAAUUUCGAACCGUUUUCACCAUUGGAUUCCUUGCGUCGAGAUCUUUAAAACUAGAUCCCAUGUUGAUUGAUUCCGGCGAACAUUUUUUUACAAAAAAACUUACGAAAAAAUUGUGCCUCUCACGAAAGAAAAAACACGUUUUUUCAUUUCCGAGAGGCAUGACCGUGUCUCGCGCGGAAGGAAAACUGUGUCUCUCAUGAAAAAAAAUAGAAACCACAUUUUUUUGUUUCCGAGAGGCACUCACGAGAAAAAAUAAUAUAAAACACGUUUUUUCUUGUGAAAAAAUUAGAAAACACGAAAGCAAAUUCAUGCCUUUUGCAGAAGCAAAAUCAUAUCUCUUGUGAAAAACAUAAAACACGUUUUCUUUCAUUUCUGAGAGAUACGACUGUGCCUCUCGCGAAAGUAAAUCCUUGCCUCUCGCGGAAGCAAAAUCGCGCCUCUCGAGAAAAAAAAGAAAACAUGUUUUUUUCGUUUUUGAAAGACACGACCAUGUCUCUCGCGGAAGCAAAUCCAUGUAUAUUGUGCAAGAAAAAUCAUGCUUUUUGGAAAAAAAAAUGUUUAUCCAUGCAAAAAAGUUUUGAAUUUGUUUCAAUAAAGGCCGAUGGAAAACCGAAACGUCGAAAAAACCCACCUAAAAAGCCAAAAGCGCAUGCAAAAAAUAAUAAAUAAAUAAAAUUCGAAGAAAAUGCUCAGAACGUGCCACGUGCCAAUAACUGAAAACACGUCAAGUGACGGUGCGUAAAAGUGACCGUUUAAGACUUUCGAAGGACCAUUCGCCAACUAGUUGCUCUCUUCUUUUGAUGAGAAAUAUAGUUGAAUGUAAUAGGCCGAGGACCAGUGCACAUUGUAGAGUCUAUAUAGGCCGAGGCCCGCCGAGGAUCAGUAUUGUAGAGUCUACAGGCUGAGGCCCAGAGUGAUCGACUAUCUCGGCCUGACCAAGUAACGGGUUUACGGGCUUCGCAUUUACGCAACAACUAGCCCUAUUUUCCUCGGCCCCGUCCGGCGAGAUCGAGAGACUACCGAUAGAGGAAGAAGAAACACGCCGCCGUCGACCCCAUCCUCUCCUCCUCCUCCGCCGCCGCCUCCGCCUCCGCCGCCGCCAUGUUCGGCUCUACCAAUCCGUUCGGGCAGUCUUCCGCCAGCGCUUUUGGGCAGACCUCUAGCAACCCUUUCGGAGCNUCCGCCGCCGCCAUGUUCGGCUCUACCAAUCCGUUCGGGCAGUCUUCCGCCAGCGCUUUUGGGCAGACCUCUAGCAACCCUUUCGGAGCCCAAUCAGGGUUCGGCCAGACCAGCACCGCCACCAAUCCCUUCGGCAGCCCGACCACCGCCUUCGGUGCGCAGACGGGGACCACCUCGCCUUUCGGCGCCACCUCCUCCACCGCCGGUGCGUUUGGUCAGCCAUCCGCUCCGGCGUUCGGGGCUACAUCCACCCCGGCGUUUGGGGCCGCG
rnacentral:lncRNA from 1 species